CAGUCGCCGCGGUAAUACGUAGGUGGCAAGCGUUGUCCGGAAUUAUUGGGCGUAAAGGGCUCGCAGGCGGUUUCUUAAGUCUGAUGUGAAAGCCCCCGGCUCAACCGGGGAGGGUCAUUGGAAACUGGGAAACUUGAGUGCAGAAGAGGAGAGUGGAAUUCCACGUGUAGCGGUGAAAUGCGUAGAGAUGUGGAGGAACACCAGUGGCGAAGGCGACUCUCUGGUCUGUAACUGACGCUGAGGAGCGAAAGCGUGGGGAGCAAACGGGAUUAGAUACCCGCGUAGUCCCUGUCUCUUAUAC
rnacentral:rRNA from 1 species